rnacentral:rRNA from 1 species
GAUGAACGCUGGCGGCGUGCCUAAUACAUGCGAGUCGAGCGAACAGACGAGGAGCUUGCUCCUCUGACGUUAGCGGCGGACGGGUGAGUAACACGUGGAUAACCUACCUAUAAGACUGGGAUCACUUCGGGAAACCGGAGCUAAUACCGGAUAAUAUAUUGCACCGCAUGGUUCAAUAGUGAAAGACGGUUUUGCUGUCACUUAUAGAUGGAUCCGCGCCGCAUUAGCUAGUUGGUAAGGUAACGGCCUACCAAGGCAACGAUGCGUAGCCGACCUGAGAGGGUGAUCGGCCACACUGGAACUGAGACACGGUCCAGACUCCUACGGGAGGCAGCAGUAGGGAAUCUUCCGCAAUGGGCGAAAGCCUGACGGAGCAACGCCGCGUGAGUGAUGAAGGUCUUCGGAUCGUAAAACUCUGUUAUUAGGGAAGAACAAAUGUGUAAGUAACUAUGCACGUCUUGACGGUACCUAAUCAGAAAGCCACGGCUAACUACGUG